GACGAACGCUGGCGGCGUGCUUAACACAUGCAAGUCGAACGGAAAGGCCCUGCUUUUGUGGGGUGCUCGAGUGGCGAACGGGUGAGUAACACGUGAGUAACCUGCCCUUGACUUUGGGAUAACUUCAGGAAACUGGGGCUAAUACCGGAUAGGAGCUCCUGCUGCAUGGUGGGGGUUGGAAAGUUUCGGCGGUUGGGGAUGGACUCGCGGCUUAUCAGCUUGUUGGUGGGGUAGUGGCUUACCAAGGCUUUGACGGGUAGCCGGCCUGAGAGGGUGACCGGCCACAUUGGGACUGAGAUACGGCCCAGACUCCUACGGGAGGCAGCAGUGGGGAAUAUUGCACAAUGGGCGGAAGCCUGAUGCAGCAACGCCGCGUGCGGGAUGACGGCCUUUUGGUUGUAAACCGCUUUCGCCUGUGACGAAGCGUGAGUGACGGUAAUGGGUAAAGAAGCACCGGCUAACUACGUG
rnacentral:rRNA from 1 species